rnacentral:tRNA from 1 species
GCAUUAAUGGGGUAGUGGUAACCUGGGUCGUUGCCAUUUUCUCCAGUCAAAUCAGCUCGACCCGCCGGGGGUUCGAUUCCCCCUUAAUGCA